rnacentral:rRNA from 1 species
GUAGGUGGCAAGCGUUGUCCGGAAUUAUUGGGCGUAAAGCGCGCGCAGGCGGUUCUUUAAGUCUGAUGUGAAAGCCCACGGCUCAACCGUGGAGGGUCAUUGGAAACUGGAGAACUUGAGUACAGAAGAGGAAAGCGGAAUUCCACGUGUAGCGGUGAAAUGCGUAGAGAUGUGGAGGAACACCAGUGGCGAAGGCGGCUUUCUGGUCUGUAACUGACGCUGAGGCGCGAAAGCGUGGGGAGCAAACAGGAUUAGAUACCCUGGUAGUCCACGCCGUAAACGAUGAGUGCUAAUGUUAGGGGGUUUCCGCCCCCCUUAGUGCUGUAGCUAACGCAUUAAGCACUCCGCCUGGGGAGUACGGCCGCAAGGCUG